CCCUCCUCGCCAAACUGCGCCCUGGCUAUCUUCUUCUUCCUCACGAAAGAAGGAGGAUCUGCCCAGGUUGCGGAAUCCACGCCAUCUCUCGCCCCCACGCCUCAGCCCCACCGACGCUGCCUUCUUCUUCUUCUGCACGCCAGAAACAGAUCCAAACGCAAUCGCCCCCAGCCUUUCUUCCUCCUCCUACACAGCCGUCAUGGGAGCCCCAAAGUAGAAGGAGCUGCUUCAAGAUCUAAAGGGCAGGGUGGUCAGAGCCAUACCAGGCAGUAAGAUCGAGCAGAAAAAUCUGAAAAGAGCUCCUUGCGAAACGGAAACCUACAGAUCAUUGCAACAAAACAAAAAGGGAAAAGGAAGUGUGUGGCAGCAUCCAAAAACAAGGGAAAAAUGCUUGAUCUCAAUGAGUUGCCUCCAGAUCUCAAUGAGCUUCCUCAUGAUAUGGAUCAGCAGCAACCCAGCAUACAACAAGGAAACUGCACAGAAAAUGGUCGAUCUGUUUACUACACGCAGGCAAGUCGUGAUGGUAACCCUACGGGCCAUGACAAUGUGGCAGGCCAGUCAUCAGCCCGUGGUGCCCCUGUAGUGGUGUCUUUGCAGUCAGAGAGCCAUACUCUUGAUGACACAGGAACCGAGGCAAAUGUUCCUGGUCCAACCAGGACUGAGCUGGAAGCUGGGGCUUUUGACAGAGCUGUGCAAGUAGAAGAAGGAGAGGAUGAGGCUGGUUCUCAACCUAUGGAACCCUAUGUUGGCAUGAGGUUUGACAACCUUCAAAUUGCUAAGGAUCACUAUAACAGUUACGCACUACGGAUGGGUUUCUCUAUCAAGAUGAACACCUCUAGACGGACACCCCGCACCAAUGAAUUGAUAAAACAAUAGUUUUGCUGCAACAAGUUCAAGAAGCCCAAAGUUGAUGAUGGAGGAGCUGAGGCUCCUCCUUACCUGGACCCUAUUCCAGAUCCAACAUCUGUUAACAGUGAUGAGGAGAUGGAAGAAGAACCUCCAAUAUUUGCUGAAGAGGAUGCUGGUACUAGUAAGAAGAAGAAGAAGCGCAAACGUGAGACAAUAAAGCAGACUGAAUGCAAGGCGAAAAUGUUGGUGAAGUUGAUAGAUGGGCGAUGGGAGGUGACGCACUUUGUUCGUGACCACAAUCAUCCGCUCGUGAACAAACCUUCAUUGUCCAAAUACUUGAGAUCCCACCAAGGCAUCUCACCUGAUGAAAAGGAGUUUUUGCGCAUCUUGUAUAACUGCAACUUGACUACAGGUGUGGUGUUUUUUUAUA